CCACGACCGAUACGUAUGGAAUCAGAUAGUAACACAGCUGUACCGUUAGAUGUCGUAUUCGACGGUGUAUAAAUUAUCGAACGUCGCCGUCUACCCGGUUCAAUUUGCUGGAAAGGAAUACCUGAUUCAUUUCUGGACAAGGCUCGCAAUCGGUUUUACACAAUUCCACAUUGCAUUCGAUGAAUAGAUCCAUCACAUCGGGGAAUUUGAAAGCUUGGAAGUAAGCGUAAGCAAUAAUCGAUGCUCCUGUAUUUCCGGUAUCAUUUGUCUUUUGGAACGCACCGAAUAAUUUUGGUUUCAAUAUACAACCUCUUUCGUCCGUUAAUUGUAGCGUAUUGGUCGAAGAUUCGUCACGAGCAAUACAAUCGUGUACCUUGAAAUUUGCAAAUUUUCGUUAAGAAAAGCUAUGUGUAUAUUUCUUUUUUUAUUUAUUUUUAUAUUUAUAUAUUUAUUUAUUAUUUUUUUUAAUAAGAAAAAAAUGAAGACAAAAUUAAAAGUUUAUUAAAAUUAAUAUAAAAAAAUAUUGUUACCUGAAGAUCGAAGCCAGGAUCCCCUUCUACGGAUACAACUAAAGUCAUGGUCUCUCCGAUUUUAACGAGUCCAUCGGCAGCAGGUGCAAAUGGUCCUCGUCCCACUUGUAUAUCCAAUUUAGCGGUUGCUGUGUCACCGCUGAACGUCACUAUUUCCUGAUUCAACAUAUCCACUGAGAAGUUCACCGUCAAGGCCUUAUUGAUGUUCCCUUCCCACAGACAACGAACUCUUUGCACUGUAUCCCAAACCUCCUGUAUUCCUGGUUCGUUCUAAACAGAGAGGAGAAAGAAAGAUAUUCUCAAGAAAGUUCUCAAGUGAUUCAAAUUUUAUCGAAAUUGUGCGAAGUUUGAAAUGAAGUUUUACCUGCAAAACUAGAACAUUUUCAAGAUACGCCUGACCAGCUUCACCCGCGAAAUCGUUGAUGAAUUGAGUACCGCAAGAAUCCAAACUGACUGUGAACGAAUAUUUCGUCUGUCCAGAAUUUUGCUCGACAUAUCUACAUUCUGGAUUCGUGUAAAAUCCCUGAGAAUAUAUAUAAAUGAUGAGUAUAAAGUGAGUAUAUGACAAUCCAAAAUAUCAUAUUCCUUACUUACUUUCGAAUAAAUAACACCAUCGAAAGCGCGAUUGAACUCGAUGUUGAUAGUCAUCAUAGUCUUACUGCACUCCACAUCGAGGGAAUGAAUGUGUGGAGGAUGUUUUAAAUCAUCAUCUUCCGUCGCACCUCCACCUGUCGUCAUUCCAGAACCGCUUGUUCCUACAAUGACGAAUAAAAUAUUGAACGAUCUCUUUGUGAUUUGCUUUGUCAUCAAAUAUAAUCUAUCUAGUUUUGAAAAGAGAAAGCAAUCGAAAACAUAGUACCUUGUCCGGUAGGACCACUGGGUGGUCUGCUUGAUGGUCUAGUAGUUCCACCGCCAUUCUGAGGAGGGAAUGCCCCACCAGGAGUAGAAGAAGGAGGGAAUCCCGGUGAGGAAGGAUAUCCACCUUGGUCGUAUGAAUAUCCAUUGGACGAAGGAUAUCCAGCAGAAGGCUGUCUAUAAGUAGAUGCUUCUAUGUACGUAGGACUUGGUCUCUGAGUCGAGUAACCGUAAGUAGUGGAGAAACCGGAUGGUGUGGAAGUAGCAGGAAAGUUAGAUGUCGUGUAACCAUAAUUUUUUGAGACUCCACCGGAAGCUGAAUAGCCAGGUGCUUGAAUGGUGGAUGUUGAACUGUAUGGUGGAAAAGCGGAGGAACCAAUGUUCGAGUAGGAAGGUGUCUCGCUAGGACGAGGAUUGUAAGAUGAUGGUACGUAUGGUUGAUUGCUUGGCGGGAGAUACGUUUGUUUUUGAGUGGAGAACGGUGGUUGUUGUGUAGUUGGUUGACCAGAUGGCCGGUAAGGAUAAUUUGUCACUGGAGCAGGAGUUGUGUAGGUUGGUGGCUGGAUGGUCGAAGGCGUUUGAAAUGGUCGAGGUCUUUCCAAUGGUCUUUGGGUGCUAUACGGUGGUAGAUAUCCUGGAGGAUCCGACUGUUGACGAGCUGCAAGAGGAACAAUUUUAGAUUACGAGAUAUCGCCAUUUAUGAUAAUUACGAAUCGUGUAGCUUGAUAUUGUUUACAAUUUUAAUAAAAUGAUUUUUCAUUCAUUCUUACAGAUGCAUCUUACAAGUUUUUUACAAGUUAAAGCCACGCUUGUUAUUCGAAAAUUUAAUCAAAUUGUCUAUAUAAGAUGUGCAAUUUACUGUAACAUUCUAUGAACGAUAUGCAGUAGUAGAAAAUUGCUACUAAGCGUGCGUGUUCUCGUUAAAGUUUGGUUAAUUGCAUUUUAAUAAUGGUUAUUGUUUCUAAUUUAAUCCGUGGAAAUGUCUUUUGAGCAUGAGCCACUGAUCGUUGAAAUAUCAGGGUGCCAGUUUCUAUUUAAAUAGAGAUUUUAAUCUCUUCAGCACAUCUCUCAUGUACAUAUGUUUUUAAAAUUAAUGACUAUGAUGACACGUUAAUAGCGUUACGUGGCUAUUAAAUGUUAAUAUGCUUAUUAUUUAUUUAUAUUAUUUCUCCAUUUCUUCAAUUAAUUAUUAUUUCUAUUGUAUCACGUUUCAAAUUAUCAUUAUAUUUCCUUGGAAUAUUUUUCUUCGGUGAAUUUCUAGGUUUUAUUAUCUUACAAAUAUUUGUAAUUAAAAGUAAUGAUUUAUAAUAUGUGCAUUAGAGAACUGAAGAGAUCAAAAGAGGAGAUAAAAAGAAUAAAAAUCUAGAAUUGUUUUAUAAUGUUUCCUCCUUUAAUUUCUAGGGUAUAUCUCGAGAGGAGUUGAUCCUUCUGGAGAACGUACGUUUACGUGCACCCUGCCGGUAGAUCCCUUGAAUCCACUCUAGGAUAUUUUGCGCCAUCACAUCUGCAGCCGAUACCGGAGCAGCUCGCUGGACUCUCGAGUGCGCUAAUGGAUUUCAAACGAUUGCUUUGAUCAAAUUCGCUAAGUCUUUAUCCUACGUUAUCGCUUUCUCUCCUCCACAAUCGAUCGUAGUCGAGUAAACUCGGCGAGUCGACUCGUAUCUCGCUUACCAUCUCCGGAUGGCGAUGUUCUGACGAACAAAGCAUGUCCUCCUCCGUAUUCUUGACCCAGAGACACGGCCAGACCAGCUGCGAUCAGGAAUGUUAUGAUCUCCUUCAUCCUCUUUAUCUAGUCGGGGAGUUUUAGAAUCAGAUCCAAUGUAAUCUUCUGAACAAAAAAAGGAUAAAACUUUAGAUUUUCCUUGGAUGUUUUGAAAUGCUAAACUAAAAUGCUAAAUGAGAUAUUUUGAUUAUAAUGGACAGAAUUGGAUGAGAAUCAUAAUGAUAUUAUUUAAUAGAUAAGGAGGAUGUUUUAAAGAAGUGGAAAACUUAACAAGUUUUAAGUUUAAAUAACUUGACAAAUUUCAUUUUAACAAAAUGUCUCAAUGUCGGAGUUCUAUCUUUUUGAAAUUUUUACUAUUACAUUCUUGCAAAAUAGAGGUAAUCAAUUUUAUGGAAUAACUCAAGAUACUUAAAGAAACAAACUCUUCAAAAAUUACUAGAAAAACUGAAUAUUCAUAACAUCAAUAAAAAAAAAAAUAAAUAAAAACCAAAUUGUAUAUUCAGAUCAUAUACAAUACAACAAUUUAAUUUCUUCAGAAGUAUAUUUUAUAAUAAAACAUCAAAGUCACAGUCACAAUACUUUCAAAGCAAUGAUUGCCAUGUAAAGAAAAUAAAAUAUUAUCAGUUUUACUAUUAAAAAAUUCUGUAAUGUUUUUUAACAGAUUUUAAUUUUUUUAAUAAUUUUAAUUAAGAAAAAAAAACUAAAACGUGUGUAUAUAUAUAUAUAUGCAUAUUUCUAAACAGGUUAAGAAUUUUGAAAUUUCAAAAAAAAGAAAAGAGGAAAAAUCGAUACAGUUGGUGACUCGAAAGGGUAAAAAGAGUAUGGUGUUAAGGACACCGAGGAGAAGAAGGAAGUUGCAACAAAGGGAAACUCCCAGCAUUGUCGCUUUCGACGAAGAUGAAGUUACGAAUGCUUGGCUAGAUCCUUGGAUACUUUCCACCAUCGGUAUCUCGAUUUACCGAUGGCUGGUCGACGGUGAAACCGAAUCGUGACAUGCUCAUGGCGCUGAUAGUGUUCUGACCUAGCGAUUCUUCCUGUAGAAAUAUCCAUGGCAACAUUCCUCGUCCCUCUGUCGGGCAAAGAGUUCGAGAAGUCAACCGGCGAAUCGUGCUUCACCGAGGUGAAAGUGUGAUAUUAUGAAUUGCAAAAAUUCAGAUUGUUGUAUUCAUAAAAGUUCCAGUAGAAGAAAGAAAAGUUUGAAAAGAUUGUUGUUAAUGUAUUCGAUAGUUUUUGAGAUAUCUUAGAAUUCUAAAGGCAAAAAUGAAUAAGAAGACACGAACUAAUUAAUCAGUUCAUCAAUUUAUUAAGUUAUAAGCAAUUCAAAUUUCAAGCGAGACAAAGAUAAAUUUCAUCUUAUCUAUAAAUAUCUGUGGAAUAAUUUAAAAAAACUAAUUAUUCUUAAGAGGCUAUAUAAAAUAUUAAAUUUGAUAACAAAUGAUAACAAAUGGGCUUUAAAAAACUAAAGUUUAAAAUAAGAUCUGCAAUUAUUUUACCCAAAUUGUUUGCAUACUUAAAGUAUUAAAGUAGUGAUAUAUAAAUUAAAAUAUAGUUAUAUUUGUCACUAUAUAAUAUUAAAAUACAAUUCAUGUGGAAAAAAUUGAACGACAUUAAGAUAGCUUUAAUUUAAUAAGUC